UACGGAGGGUGCGAGCGUUGUCCGGAAUCACUGGGCGUAAAGGGCGCGUAGGUGGCCUGUGGAAGUCUGCGGUGAAAGCCCGGCGCUCAACGCCGGGUCUGCCGUGGAUACUCUCGGGCUUGAGCUUACUAGAGGCAGAUGGAAUUCCGGGUGUAGCGGUGAAAUGCGCAGAUAUCAGGAGGAACACCGAUGGCGAAGGCAGGUCUCUGGGCCGAUACUGACGCUGAGGAGCGAAAGCGUGGGGAGCGAACAGG
rnacentral:rRNA from 1 species